GACGAACGCUGGCGGCGUGCUUAACACAUGCAAGUCGAACGAAGUGGCGAACGGGUGAGUAACGCGUAAUCAACCUGCCCUUCAGAGGGGGACAACAGUGGGAAACGACUGCUAAUACCGCAUACUGAAGGAGGGGAUUGCGUCUGAUUAGCUAGUUGGAGGGGUAACGGGCCACCAAGGCGAUGAUCAGUAGCCGGUCUGUGAGGGUGAACGGCCACAUUGGGACUUGGACACGGCCCAGAAUCCUACGGGGGGCAGCAGUGGGGGAUCUUCCGCCAUGGACGAAAGUCUGACGGAGCAACGCCGCGUGAGUGAUGACGGCCCUCGGGUUGUAAAGCUCUGUUAAUCGGGACGCGGUACCGGAAUAGAAAGCCACGGCUAACUACGUGCCAGCAGCCGCGGUAAUUC
rnacentral:rRNA from 1 species